UAGCAGGGUCACCCAAGUCGGACAGGUCGAAGGGUAGAGACCAGACAAAGAGUGGUCCACGAGUGCUGAAGUCGGAGGUGGUGGGCCGCAAGGCGCACUCUGAAAUAACCACACCACCACGCAACACAGCCUAUGCCACUUGGAAAGUAUUAACAAGGUGCAGACGAAGGAGUGGAUGUGAUUAGUGACUAAAAUCUCGUCUCUAAGGUUGAAGCGGAGGGUUAAGCGGCACACACCCAAUCCUCGAAUGCGCUUUCACCUGGACAGGCUACGAGACCAUGGUCCCCAGGAACCUCUUCUCGCUACCAUCAAAAGGUGCAAGCUGAUCACAUGGUUUGGUCAUGUCGCUCCGACACAAUACAUCGCCGAAGACAGUCCUGCAAGGGUUCGCAGAAGGUGGUUGCCACCGGAGUAAGAAGAAAAAGAAUUGGCUUGCGAGAGGUCCUCCUAACGGCAAUGGGACAAGUCUCGUGGGCGAACAGUUGCCGCUGAUAGUCUCAUCGUGACCUCCCCAACUCCCCGACGAACCGCCUUGCUCCCAGUCCGGCCGAUGCCAUUAAGGGGAAUGAAGAUCGGUGUUAUGGAAUAAUUCCCCUUCUGGCACCCUCCGGUACAGCAUGCACGUUGGCCAACGUGUGCCUGUGUCGUGUAGCGAAAAGAACGCGAGCGCUCGCGUUAUAGUACGCAGGGCAAGCCACGCACACAAACAUGGCCACCAGUCAGGCUCACUGCUACAAAUCUGAGGAAAAAACUGUGGUUGGAACAAAAAUAAAGUAGAAAGAACCAUCCAGUUUAUUAAAGACACACAUAAUCUAGUAAUACCCAUAACCACAAGAACAAUUAAAAGCAGAAAAUAAGGGAAAAAAAUAUGAAAUUUUCAAUUCUGCAUACUCCAACCCUGCAGUGUCUAGUAUGGAAGGUGUUCAUAGAGACCUGCAUCCGGAAUCUUUUAGUUCUCACUGAAGUGUUAACCACUACCCUGCUGGGCGCCCCGGUGUCUGGUUACUGGGUACAAGCCCCUACAAUAUGCAUCCGGCGAAUUUGACAAGAGGUGGGGAGAGGAAAGAAAAAAUAUAUUAUUAGCGUAGAUUGUUCCACAUUUAGUGCAGUUAUGAUCACGGCAAACCUAUUAAAGUUCUGCCCCUCGUGUUUGACGAGAAACCAAUUAAUGUAAUUUUUAUCCUACAGGUUUCCUCGCUCAGCGUGGUUCGAUUUAUUGAUCUGGCGUUGCUUCCAAUUGGUCUCGGUCAGACCUUGCAUGGGUCGAUCAGGUCUGCCAGCGGCCUCUGUGAACAUUAACAAACUUAACUCUAUUUGUCAAUAUGCGACAAGGGUGUUGUCCGCUCUCCUUCAUGUUUGCAUGUGGACAUGGUAAGAAAUAUAUGUUGAUGGAGGUGAUGGGUCGGAAGAAGGGACCAGAGCAGUUUUAGCAAGGUUAGACGUGUCUAGAGAAACACCUACAUCAAUAGAUGCGAAUGAAUUUACACAGGUGGCAAUAAUAGGACAUGGAAAUUAAAAAUCUCAUGACAACGACGGCAGACCUGCCUAGGUGACUGAUGAUUGCUUCUGUCACCUCGCUGUCCACGACUAGUGUUAUAUAGAGACCUCACUUUUCUCGGGGCCAUCUUUAUGUGAGGACGGUGCCCAUCUCCUCUCCCUAGCUGCCUUACAUACCUAAUCCUACAUGGAGUCAGGUAACCCAUUCCCCCAGGCUGGGUCGUAUGGGUGAAGUUUGCUGCACUAAUCGGGCAUUGAAGGGCAUGAUCUUUUAAACUUGCCUGAAGUUGAUGAUCUUUGUCUGGAACUAAUCAGGUGAGCUGUGCUGUGCUUGCACUUGCUAACUUGUUACAUUCUAUUAAUUUGCUACAGUUGAGGGUUUCUUGCUCAGCCACCCAGUAGAUGUGGUUUUUCAAUUAUACUUGUCUGAGUAAUCAGUAAAAAGUUAAGACAAACAAGUGCACUAUGACAAUCAUGAGUUUAUAGCGGAGAAGUUUGAAUGGUCCCUUUAGAAGGUAUCCUCUUAUUGAAUCCAAGGUAAGAAAUACCAACAGCUGUUCUGCUGCGAUGGCAAUAUAUGUUAAAUGAAAAAGCAGGGAUGUAAACAUUCCUACAAUAUAUACAGCAAUACUCUCCUGCUCUUUAAUAGUACACAAAUGUGGCGACUAACUCUCAAAAGAAGACCUGUUUUCAGAAUACAGUUUCUGGGCUUGCAGUUCAGCAGACUCAUGAGGUCUCCAUAUCUCUCUCUGAUCCACAUAAUUCUACAAAAUGCUAUUCUGAAGAUAAUAAGGCCAUAUGCAAAGGGCUUUUCAUCAAAAACCUGUUCCACUGCAGAUUAUUAUCAUAAGCAUCAUCGUCAAGCCAGUAAUAAUGCCAAGAGCAGCAUUAGCAUCACUAAAUGAUGGGCAAACAAUAAAAACAAAUCCACCGACCAACCCAAUGCCCUUCCUCCACAAUUCCUCCCUCUCAUAAUCAAAUGUCUCACAAUACAAGAAAUCCUCCAAUGCUACAACCAAUCUUCCAUAUCAGGUAAGACUGAAAAAUACAUUGUUGAAGAGUGUCUGUUUUGCUCUUUACACUGAUUAGAAAGCAUUCUUCAUUCUAAACAAAUGAAACCUGCAUACACAAAUGAAAUUUACAUCCUUUGUAAUUGUGAUCAAACAAAGCAGGUAAUUUCAUCUUGAAUGAUUUAAAAUCACAGAACAGUUUACAUGCAUAUUCUCUAUAUCAGAAAUAUUUCAUAUAUACUUUACACAUCAAAUAAACAAGGCAAACAGCAUAUGAAAUAGAACGGCAAAUAUCAGUGAACAUGUGUGAGUAUCUGGAUAAGCUCAUGCCUAAAAUUGUGAAAGGAAAAUAUAGGGCAUCCGAUUUUGAAAUAUUUAGCACUGACAUUAAAAAUGUAUUUCAUAAACAUAAAACAUUCCAUGAAAAUGACUUAUUCAGCAUUGGAAACUGGCUGAAUGAAGCAAAUUGUAUGACACAAGCAAAACUGAUAUCAUGAUGUGUGAAAGGGGUGCUGGCCUGGGAUGAUUGAAGACAACUUCACAUGCUGCUAAAUUUCCUUCUUAUUCUUCUACUUAAUAGCCUAUUUAUUUCCUCCACAUCACUUUAACAAAUUAUCAAGCUGUUUUAAGAUCUUUAUCAAUGUUAAGGCUGACUUUGCAUUCCCAUCUUCAACUACAAGAAAGACAUUAUUUUAGCAAAGAAAUAAGGCUACAGAUAAAAUGUUUUCUCUUGCUUGCCAGUUCACCUUUCACACAUAAUGUUCCACCAUUUACAUAAUUUGACAGAUGUUUCAUUUAGUUGGCACCACAUUUCCACAAUUUAAAGGUAUGCAAUACAGAAAAUUAAAUAAGGAAUAAACUCCACAGGAAACCUAAGAGUGAAU